CCUACGGGAGGCAGCAGUGGGGAAUUUUGGGCAAUGGGCGAAAGCCUGAUCCAGCAAUGCCGCGUGAGUGAAGAAGGCCUUCGGGUUGUAAAGCUCUUUUGUCAGGGAAGAAACGGUGAGGGCUAAUAUCUCUUGCUAAUGACGGUACCUGAAGAAUAAGCACCGGCUAACUACGUGCCAGCAGCCGCGGUAAUACGUAGGGUGCAAGCGUUAAUCGGAAUUACUGGGCGUAAAGCGUGCGCAGGCGGUUUUGUAAGUCUGUCGUGAAAUCCCCGGGCUCAACCUGGGAAUUGCGAUGGAGACUGCAAGGCUAGAAUCUGGCAGAGGGGGGUAGAAUUCCACGUGUAGCAGUGAAAUGCGUAGAGAUGUGGAGGAACACCGAUGGCGAAGGCAGCCCCCUGGGUCAAGAUUGACGCUCAUGCACGAAAGCGUGGGGAGCAAACAGGAUUAGAUACCCUGGUAGUCCACGCCCUAAACGAUGUCUACUAGUUGUCGGGUUUUAAUUAACUUGGUAACGCAGCUAACGCGUGAAGUAGACCGCCUGGGGAGUACGGUCGCAAGAUUAAAACUUCAAAUUGUUAGUAGAGGCGNGAGAGNGCGACGGACGACGACGAGGGAGGAGG
rnacentral:rRNA from 1 species